AGCUUUGCGCAGUGGCAGCGUGGUAGCCAGCGAGGUUCGUCCGAGGCACGACUAUUGCUAACUGAAAACUUCCCAAAGCCCCGCAUGACGCCUUGCAGUACGGUGGGCACUGGCAAUUUUUGACAGUCUCUGUGGACA